rnacentral:rRNA from 1 species
GCCAAUAUAAAGCUCCAUUCAUACAAAAAUAAAAUAUUAUUACUAAUCAAUCAAAUCAUUUACCCAAAUCUUAGUAUAGGUGAUAGAAAAGAUUACUAGGACGCUAUAAUGUAAGUACCGCAAGGGAAAAAUGAAAGAUCAAUUAAAGCACAAAAAAGCAAAGACAAGUCCUUAUACCUUUUGCAUAAUGAUCUAGCUAGCAUAAUCGGACAAAAAGAAUUUCCGCCCGCCCUCCCGAAAUCAAGUGAGCUACUAUAAAACAGCCACAAGAGCUAACUCGUCUAUGUAGCAAAAUAGUGAGAAGAUUUUAUAGUAGAAGUGAAAAGCCUACCGAACUUGAAGAUAGCUGGUUGUCCAAAACACGAAUUUUAGUUCAACUUUAAAUUUAAUACAAAUAUCAGCAAAUACAACUUAAAUUUAAAAGCUAAUCAAAAGAGGGACAACUCUUUUGAUUAAGUAGACAAACUUCAUUAGAGGAUAAUGUAACCCCAAAACACAUUGUAGGCCUAAAAGCAGCCACCAAUUAAGAAAGCGUUAAAGCUCAAAUCUACAAAAUAUUUAAUCUUAAGAAUCUUACCAAAAUCCCUAACACCAAUAUUGGACAACUCUAUAGACUUAUAGAUGAUAUACUGCUAAAAUCAGUAACAAGAAAUCAAUUCUCCUUGCAUAAGCCUAACUUAGCAACGGAAUACCCACUAACAAUUAACAAACCAAUACAAAUAAACCACUCAAAUAUACUAAAUAUUACAACAAUUGUUAACCCAACACAGGAAUGCACAAACAAAGGAAAGAUUAAACAGAAUAAAAGGAACUCGGCAAACACUAACCCCGCCUGUUUACCAAAAACAUCACCUCUAGCAUACCAAAUAUUAGAGGCAACGCCUGCCCAGUGAGUUUGACUUAAACGGCCGCGGUAUCCUGACCGUGCAAAGGUAGCAUAAUCACUUGUCUCUUAAAUAGAGACUUGUAUGAAUGGCAUCACGAGGGUUUAACUGUCUCUUAUUCUUAAUCAGUGAAAUUGACCUUCCCGUGCAGAGGCGGGAAUAAUUAUACAAGACGAGAAGACCCUGUGGAGCUUAAGAUUCAUAGCCUACAUCCAAACAAAAUCUAACCCUACAAGGAACUAAAACUACAGAUAACUAGCCUAUGAUCUUUGGUUGGGGUGACCUCGGAGCAUAAAACAACCUCCGAAUGAUUUAACCAAGAUAAACCAAUCUAAGUGUACCAAACCAAUAAUUGACCCAAAAAUUGAUCAACGGACCAAGUUACCCCAGGGAUAACAGCGCAAUCCUAUUUAAGAGCCCAUAUCGACAAUUAGGGUUUACGACCUCGAUGUUGGAUCAGGACACCCAAAUGGUGCAACCGCUAUUAAUGGUUCGUUUGUUCAACGAUUAAAGUCCUACGUGAUCUGAGUUCAGACCGGAGAAAUCCAGGUCGGUUUCUAUCUGUAAAUUUAUUUCUCCCAGUACGAAAGGACAAGAGAAAUAAGGCCAACAUUACAUAUGAGCCUUAGAGCCAAGAUAUGAACCCAUCUAAAUAUCUUAACUCAAUAACUAUUACGCCCUAGAAAUAGAGCU